rnacentral:rRNA from 1 species
UAUUUAUUACAUGGAAACCAAUGCGGGUUCGCCCGGAUUCAGGUGAUUCAUAAUAACUUUCGGAUCGGCUUGCCGAUGCAUCAUUCAAGUUUCUGCCCUAUCAGGUCUGGAUGGUAGGGUAUUGGCCUACCAUGCCUUUAACGGGUAACGGAGAAUUAGGGUUCGAUUCCGGAGAGGGGGCCUGAGAAAUGGCCACCACAUCCAAGGAAGGCAGCAGGCGCGUAAAUUACCCAAUCCUGACACAGGGAGGUAGUGACAAUAAAUAACACCGCAGGGCUUUUUAAAGUCUUGCGUUAGGAACGAGAACAAUUUAAACCCCUUAUCGAGGAUCAAUUGGAGGGCAAGUCUGGUGCCAGCAGCCGCGGUAAUUCCAGCUCCAAUAGCGUAUACUAAAGUUGUUGCAGUUAAAAAGCUCGUAGUUGAAUUUCUGGAUGUGAAAGGUGGUCGGCACCUCACGGUGUCUGUACCUACCAUUCGCGUCCAUCCUCGGGAGGAACAUGUGGACACUUAAGUGGGUCUGCUUGGGAAUCUCGUCAUUUACUGUGAGC